rnacentral:rRNA from 1 species
CAGUCGCCACGGUAAUACGAAGGGGGCUAGCGUUGUUCGGAAUUACUGGGCGUAAAGCGCACGUAGGCGGAUAUUUAAGUCAGGGGUGAAAUCCCAGAGCUCAACUCUGGAACUGCCUUUGAUACUGGGUAUCUUGAGUAUGGAAGAGGUGAGUGGAAUUCCGAGUGUAGAGGUGAAAUUCGUAGAUAUUCGGAGGAACACCAGUGGCGAAGGCGGCUCACUGGUCCAUUACUGACGCUGAGGUGCGAAAGCGUGGGGAGCAAACAGGAUUAGAUACCCCAGUAGUCCCUGUCUCUUAUAC